rnacentral:rRNA from 1 species
GAUGAACGCUAGCGGGAGGCCUAACACAUGCAAGCCGAGCGGUAUUUGUUCUUCGGAACAGAGGGAGCGGCGCACGGGUGCGGAACACGUGUGCAACCUGCCUUUAUCUGGGGGAUAGCCUUUCGAAAGGAAGAUUAAUACCCCAUAAUAUAUUGAGUGGCAUCAUUUGAUAUUGAAAACUCCGGUGGAUAGAGAUGGGCACGCGCAAGAUUAGAUAGUUGGUGAGGUAACGGCUCACCAAGUCAAUGAUCUUUAGGGGGCCUGAGAGGGUGAUCCCCCACACUGGUACUGAGACACGGACCAGACUCCUACGGGAGGCAGCAGUGAGGAAUAUUGGACAAUGGGUUAGCGCCUGAUCCAGCCAUCCCGCGUGAAGGACGACGGCCCUAUGGGUUGUAAACUUCUUUUGUAUAGGGAUAAACCUACUCUCGUGAGAGUAGCUGAAGGUACUAUACGAAUAAGCACCGGCUAACUCCGUG